AUUUCUUGGGCCGCUCCCACGGCAUAUGGAGGUUCCCAGGCUAGGGGUUGAAUUGGAGCUGUAGCCCCCGGCCUACGCCAGAGCCACAGCAAUGCUGGAUCCGAGCCACGUCUGCAACCUACACCACAGCUCACGGCAACGCCAGAUCAUUAACCCACUGAGCAAGGGCAGGGACCGAACCCGCAACCUCAUGGUUCCUAGUCGGAUUCGUUAACCACUGCACCACGACGGGAACUCCGAUUACCCAAUUUUAGAUCAUUUUUUUUAGGAUACAAUUUUAAGGUGCUAAUUUUGUUUUGGGGUUUUUUGCUGUUUUUUUGUUUGUUUGUUUGAUUGUUUGUUUUUGUCUUUUUGCCUUUUCUAGGGCCGCUCCCACGGCAUAUGGAGGUUCCAAGGCUAGAGGUCUAAUCGGAGCUGUAUAUGCUACACCACAGUCCCAGCAAUACCAGAUCAGAGCCACAUCUGUGACCUACACCACAGCCCACGGCAAUGCUGGAUCCUUAACUCGCUGAGCAAGGCCGGGGUCAAACCCGAAACCUCAUGGUUCCUAGUCGGAUUUGUUAACCACUGCACCAUGACGGGAACUCCAAGACCCAAAAUAUAGUCUUUUGACAUGGGGUUGUUUACAGAAUUGAGGCAAACAUAGACAACCUCCAGUUGCAGCCAACCAAGCCUUGAGUAAUCCACAAUCUUGGUGACAACAAAAUUGUUCAAAUUAUCUCCAGUAGUGUGCAUGGGAUGAAAUGCAUGUAGAUGGCAAACUGGGAUAUUGAGGGGCCUAAAGCCCUUAGCGUUUAGUUAAUUUUAGUUGGUUUAGUGGGUUUUCCUAAAACACUUAGUUUUAGGAAGUCACCUGUCUUCCUCUUAUGGCCCUAGAGAGCCAAAGGAAUAGAGAAAAUAAGAAAUUAAAAGCUAUACAAUUAAGAACACAGUGAGGAAAAUCACAAAGCCUAAGGAAAACAUAGAAAAAUCCCUUCACCUCCUGUAUGUGUAUCAGCUCUUACUGAUUAAUCCAGGAUAUAAUCGUAAAAGAGGCAAAAUAGCAUUUCAGUUUGGAGCUGAAGUCCACCAAAUCUCUUCCACACUGACUGGGGAAAAGUAGAACCCUGAGGCUGAGAAACUUGAACUCCUAAAUCUGCUUGAGUCAAUUUUACAAGCAAAAGAGACUUCUUCCAGCCAUAGCAUGAAGGAAGAAUUUUUCCCUGCAUAAAAUUUGUUCAAUGAGACAGUACCUCACAACUGAGUCAAUUUUUCUAAAGCCCCUCACCAGCAUCCUCUACUACCUUCAGGUUCAUAGUUAAGAGCUAAAUUUCAAUAGGGUCCAGACUAAGAAAUAUCUGGUCUCUUCUGGGAUGAGAUAGCCUAUAAACAGAAAAAUUUAUAGAACUGUGUCAUUCUUAAUCACCAUAAGCCUGGACUUUGCAGGACUAGGUUCUAAGUUCAUGAAAUGGCAGACAAACUAAAGUUAUGAUUAGCCCAAACUCAUUGAGAUGUGUUUAUUCACCUAAAGUUGGCUCAAAUAUAUAGGAUUGGCAUUAGUUAAUGGCUAGGUGGUCUAAAGUUAAUGAGAUCAAAAUGCCAGAGCUUUCCUGGUAUAUUGUAGAGGACGAUGAAGGCACUAGUCAUACUUUUUAUAUUUUUAUGAUGCUUUGACAUCUUAGAGCCUUGCAGACCCAGGGAGAAAUUACCCUUCUGAAGGUUAAAUGAUACCUAAAGAUAGCAAAAAAAUUGCCUUUAAGCAUACCUUUGAUAUGCCAAUCCACCAAUACAGAGGACGUACCCCCCAAACAUCUCCUUCAUUCUCACGGACCAAGCCAAUAUUCUCCCUGCCCCAAAACACCCCAGAGCUAGGUACAUGACAACUAGGAAGCACCCCAAUAGCCCAGAGCCUGCAGAAAAUAUGCAAACUGUCCAAGCCUAAGCUUUUUCACAAUACCUACCCUCCCUUGUCUAUGUCUUCCCUCAAAACUACAAUAUAGGCUCUGGAUCAUGCUUUCCCUUUGCUCCUCUGCCUCUUGACUGAUUUGGUCCUUCCUCAGAUGACCCUACAUGGCAUGGCAUGCCCUCUCUUCUUGGGAGCUGUGAAUAAUAGCCUUUCUCUCAAGGCAGUCUUCUCCUAUCUGCCAUCUCAACAUACUUGAUUAAAACAAAAUCCCAGGUACAUUUUAGAACCAAGACAGAAGACUCAAGGAAAGAGGAGUAAUAGAAUGAAUCAUUUUUGUGUCCAUCUACCCUCUAAACAAUAUCUCAUUGGAAAAUUCAGAAAAUACUUCCUUCCUAUUAUGAAAAAUAUUAUUGGUUGUAGGAGAGGGGGAGUGCAAAUUUUCCUGAAGAACUCUAAGUAGUGGUCCUCUGCAGAUUGGAUGGAAUCCUGGUGACUGCUAUAUUGGGUUGUCCCUGACUUUAAAGAGGAUAAUAGGAUGCUAGAGUGGUAAACCAAAUAGCAGCACUUAACUCUCAAAGUAAAGGUACAUGCAUUUGCCAAAAUAAGACAAGCAGAAUUAGUAAUUACAGUGUACUGACCCGAGGAGAUCUGUGGCAACAGUUAACUGACUACAAGUUUCCUAGAAAUA
rnacentral:lncRNA from 1 species